UCAGAACAAAACCAGGUAAUGAAUUAGCAGCUGCAUAGUGAAGGAUUCUAACAAAGUUACUCAAAAGAAUGUUGCUUCAUCUGAUAUUUGGGAAUAGUAGCAUAGUUGCUUAGUCGUCGUCUCUUCUUUUAACGUGAUACAAUAUAGGUGUGUUUCGUCGCUCAAACGCUUGCUUCUUCCCUCCUCUUCUCCUCGUCUUAGUGUAGAAAGCAUACCCACUGCUCCCUUGCUGUGGCUGGUACCUGUUGCUGGUGGGAGGUGGUCGAGUUGCGUUCAAGUUGGUCUGGACACCACACUUGUAAAAAAAAGGUGUCUCCAGCACGAGGUAAUUCAAUUCUUUAGUUUGUGGCGGAGUCGCGGAGAGUUGUAGAAGACUCGGUUAUUAUAUAUCUAAUUGAAGUAAUUCUUGAGCCACCUUUAUUGCUAUGUUGCUACAAUCUUGUGUUAAGGAUAUUCAACAAUUUACAUAACAUUUCUUUUUACCUAUACACGCUAGAUAGUCAUUCGACAAAAGGGAUUCAAUUGAACCCUUUAAAACCAUGCAUUUGUACACUAGUACUAUAUUACUACAGUAAAUUGUACAGUCAAGAAUCUCAUAAUAUAAUGCACCAGAAUGAAGAUGGUAUUAAUUACCAUAUAUGUUAUUCAGAUUAAGUAUUCUUACCAUAUUGUUAGGCUCCUCUUGUUUCUUGCCAGGAAAUUCCUGAUCAUUUGCAAACCCGUGUCGUGCGCCUAACCCAUUUUUAUGCUGCGGUUGCUGAUCAUUUGCAAACCCGUGGCGUG
rnacentral:lncRNA from 1 species